rnacentral:ncRNA from 2 species
CUGAGAGUAGGAUUAAUGCGUUAAGUGUCAGUGGACGGAAUGUUGCUGCUGGACGAAGAGAUUACUCGCGAUGUUAAUCCGCAUUCGCUCAA